GAUGACUCGAGUGUUACAAACAAUAGUUUUUAAGGAAUAAUGAGAAAUAAGUUAAUUUUUAUAGGAUAAAAAACUUAAUCAACAUGAUAACAUUAGUCCUACCAGACACUAACUUAGUUUUAUAGAUGAUCCUGGAGCAAAGGCUGUAAUUUAACCUGAACCCAAAUUGGUCUCUUUUUUAAAUAUUGUCUUGAACCAAUAAGUUAAGAGGACUAACUUUUCUGGACGACAUUGCCAUCGACAUCACUGCAGAUGAGAGAGAAAGAGAGACCAGAGUUGUGUACCCUGGAGGCAAUUACCAUACUGCUGUGAUAAUGUUCCUUGGUCUAACCAUAACUUAAGUGAGAGCUGAAGCCUACCAGUAAAAUGGGGGUGUUGUAAUUAAUAUCCUCCGACACUGGAGGAUACAGGGGAGAGGUGUCAGAGGAAGAGGAGAUGGAGGAUGGGGCGAGUUUAAGACUAAGAUUGAAGAAAACUAACUUAUGGCCUGAUGACAGGGUGGAUGGCGAUGGAGGCAUGGAGGUUGGGGGAGAGAAGGCUGAAGAAGUGA